rnacentral:rRNA from 1 species
CAGUAGCCGCGGUAAUACAGAGGAUGCAAGCGUUAUCAGGAAUGAUUGGGCGUAAAGCGUCUGUAGGUGGCUUUUCAAGUCCGCCGUCAAAUCCCAAGGCUCAACCUUGGGCAGGCGGUGGAAACUACCAAGCUGGAGUACGGUAGGGGCAGAGGGAAUUUCCGGAGGAGCGGUGAAAUGCGUUGAGAUCAGAAAGAACACCAACGGCGAAUGCACUCUGUUGGGCUGACACUGACACUGAGAGACGAAAGCUAGGGGAGCAAAUGGGAUUAGAUACCCCCGUAGUCCCUGUCUCUUAUAC